CCUCCUUCCCUCUGCAUUUGUUCUGCUUCAGCUUCCUGUUUCAAGGCUUCCUUCUUCCCUCAGUCAUCUUGUCCCCUGUUUUUUCAGCCUCUCGAUUUUGUAGAGCAGCCUUCAGCUGACUCCAGAAAGGUGCAGUGAAGCUCACAAAACCAGUGACUUCCUGCAGCUGCGUUUUUAACAUUAUUAGAAUUUUUUCGGAUAUAAAAAAAGCUUGAUCACCAGCAGUGGAGUUGAUUAACAGAGACCGAAUGAGGUAUUUUUCAAGGAGAGAGUGCAGACUGGUGGCAAGCUGUAAGCUGUGUGUCAGUGUCAAUUUACCUUGUACAGUUUUAGGCCACACGGUAAAGAGGAUUAAGGAACCGUGCCAUCAACAAAUACUCUGGCAAAUCCACAUCCUGUCAGCAGUUUCUCCCUCUCAGCUGAGCUGAAAAUAAAGGAAUUGAUGGUCCAGAGCCUGAAUUUCCUUCUAGUUGUUGGUUGAACCAGGAACAGUGGAGAAACAGAAGAGGUUUUUUAAGCAAGCAGUUCCUAUCCUUUCCACUAGACUUUAUGGGCCUUACAAACAUACAGAAAGGAGUCCUGCUACCUGGGAUAAUUUAAGACAGUAGAGAAAACAUACUGUAACAGCAUCUCUUCAUCCUAUAUGCAACAGAACAGAAGUAUGGACACCAUCUACCCCUGAAAAUCUCCAUCAUGGGU